GCUUACGGCCAUACCACCCUGAGAACGCCCGAUCUCGUCUGAUCUCGGAAGCUAAGCAGGGUCGGGCCUGGUUAGUAAUUGGAUGGGAGACCGCCUGGGAAUACCAGGUGCUGUAAGCU
ensembl:rRNA 5S_rRNA 5S ribosomal RNA